rnacentral:rRNA from 1 species
CGCAUGGAUUUUGUUUGAAAGGUGGCUUCGGCUAUCACUUCUGGAUGAUCCCGCGGCGUAUUAGUUAGUUGGUGAGGUAAAGGCCCACCAAGACGAUGAUACGUAGCCGACCUGAGAGGGUAAUCGGCCACAUUGGGACUGAGACACGGCCCAAACUCCUACGGGAGGCAGCAGUAGGGAAUCUUCCACAAUGGACGAAAGUCUGAUGGAGCAAUGCCGCGUGAGUGAAGAAGGGUUUCGGCUCGUAAAACUCUGUUGUUAAAGAAGAACACCUUUGAGAGUAACUGUUCAAGGGUUGACGGUAUUUAACCAGAAAGCCACGGCUAACUACGUGCCAGCAGCCGCGGUAAUACGUAGGUGGCAAGCGUUGUCCGGAUUUAUUGGGCGUAAAGCGAGCGCAGGCGGUUUUUUAAGUCUGAUGUGAAAGCCUUCGGCUUAACCGGAGAAGUGCAUCGGAAACUGGGAGACUUGAGUGCAGAAGAGGACAGUGGAACUCCAUGUGUAGCGGUGGAAUGCGUAGAUAUAUGGAAGAACACCAGUGGCGAAGGCGGCUGUCUAGUCUGUAACUGACGCUGAGGCUCGAAAGCAUGGGUAGCGAACAGGAUUAGAUACCCUGGUAGUCCAUGCCGUAAACGAUGAGUGCUAAGUGUUGGAGGGUUUCCGCCCUUCAGUGCUGCAGCUAACGCAUUAAGCACUCCGCCUGGGGAGUACGACCGCAAGGUUGAAACUCAAAGGAAUUGACGGGGGCCCGCACAAGCGGUGGAGCAUGUGGUUUAAUUCGAAGCUACGCGAAGAACCUUACCAGGUCUUGACAUCUUCUGCCAAUCUUAGAGAUAAGACGUUCCCUUCGGGGACAGAAUGACAGGUGGUGCAUGGUUGUCGUCAGCUCGUGUCGUGAGAUGUUGGGUUAAGUCCCGCAACGAGCGCAACC